GCCCCUAUGGUCUAGUGGUACGAUACCCCCUUCGGGAGAAUUUCCGCGUACUACAUGGUUGCGCUUAAUUGGGGGUGGUCCUGCGUUCGAAUCGCGGUGGGGGCC